rnacentral:miRNA from 1 species
GAGGUAGGAGGAUUGCUUGAGCCUGGGAGGUCGAGGCUGCAGUGAGCUGUGAUCAUACCACUGCACUCCAGCCUGAGUGACAGAGUGAGACCAUGCCUCA